GAUUCCUGGAGUUAGAAAUCUGCUUUGUGUCUGAGCCAACAUCAGAAGAAGUCUUCGAUAAUUAAGGAUGACUAAUUUUUGCACUUGUUUGAGACAGAUAGGUCCAAUUUGAAGAAACCAGACCUUAAAUAGCAGUACAUCUUUGGUCACAUGAUUCCAUCAAACUGGAGUGGAGAUAUGCCAUAACUUGGCAAAGACCUUAAAUAGCAGUACAAUCUUGAACUCUUUUGUGUAGUGUGUUUGUGUGCUCACAAGCUUAAUUAGGGUGAUAUGCCAUAACUUGGCAAAGACCAAAUUGGAGAAGCAUGC
rnacentral:lncRNA from 1 species